rnacentral:rRNA from 1 species
AGAGUUUGAUCAUGGCUCAGAUUGAACGCUGGCGGCAUGCCUUACACAUGCAAGUCGAACGGCAGCACGGGUGCUUGCACCUGGUGGCGAGUGGCGAACGGGUGAGUAAAGUAUCGGAACGUGCCUGGUAGUGGGGGAUAACUAGUCGAAAGACUAGCUAAUACCGCAUACGAUCUAAGGAUGAAAGCAGGGGACCUUCGGGCCUUGUGCUAUCAUAGCGGCCGAUAUCUGAUUAGCUAGUUGGUGGGGUAAAAGCCCACCAAAGCGACCAUCGGUAGCUGGUCAGAACGGACCACCAUCCAGACUGGAACUGAUACACGACUACUACUCCAACCGGAGGUAGCAAAGAGGAAUUGAGGCGGAGGCGCCUGUCCUCUCCCCGCCCCGCGGGCUGAUUGAAAAACGUCCGCCGUGUAAACCUCUCUUGUGAGAGGAAAGAUUAGGUUGUGUAUUACACACACCGCUGGACGGUGCUUCUGAAAAAAGCACCGGCUAACUACGUGCCAGCAGCCGCGGUAAUACGUAGGGUGCAAGCGUUAAUCGGAAAUUACUGGGCGUAAAGCGUGCGCAGGCGGUUUUAUAAGUCUGAUGUGAAAUCCCCGGGCUCAACCUGGGAACUGCAUUGGAGACUGUAAGGCUAGAGUGUGUCAGAGGGGGGUAGAAUUCCACGUGUAGCAGUGAAAUGCGUAGAUAUGUGGAGGAAUACCGAUGGCGAAGGCAGCCCCCUGGGAUAACACUGACGCUCAUGCACGAAAGCGUGGGGAGCAAACAGGAUUAGAUACCCUGGUAGUCCACGCCCUAAACGAUGUCAACUAGUUGUCGGGUCUUAAUUGACUUGGUAACGCAGCUAACGCGUGAAGUUGACCGCCUGGGGAGUACGGUCGCAAGAUUAAAACUCAAAGGAAUUGACGGGGACCCGCACAAGCGGUGGAUGAUGUGGAUUAAUUCGAUGCAACGCGAAAAACCUUACCUACCCUUGACAUGGCAGGAAUCCUGAAGAGAUUUGGGAGUGCUCGCAAGAGAACCUGCACACAGGUGCUGCAUGGCUGUCGUCAGCUCGUGUCGUGAGAUGUUGGGUUAAGUCCCGCAACGAGCGCAACCCUUGUCAUUAGUUGCUACGAAAGGGCACUCUAAUGAGACUGCCGGUGACAAACCGGAGGAAGGUGGGGAUGACGUCAAGUCCUCAUGGCCCUUAUGGGUAGGGCUUCACACGUCAUACAAUGGUACAUACAGAGGGCUGCCAAACCGCGAGGUGGAGCUAAUCCCAGAAAGUGUAUCGUAGUCCGGAUUGGAGUCUGCAACUCGACUCCAUGAAGUUGGAAUCGCUAGUAAUCGCGGAUCAGCAUGUCGCGGUGAAUACGUUCCCGGGUCUUGUACACACCGCCCGUC